rnacentral:rRNA from 1 species
UACGAAGGGGGCUAGCGUUGUUCGGAAUUACUGGGCGUAAAGCGUGCGCAGGCGGCUUCUCAAGUCAGGGGUGAAAGCCCAGAGCUCAACUCUGGAAUUGCCUUUGAGACUGAGUGGCUUGAGUACGAGAGAGGUGAGUGGAAUUCCCAGUGUAGAGGUGAAAUUCGUAGAUAUUGGGAAGAACACCGGUGGCGAAGGCGGCUCACUGGCUCGUAACUGGCGCUCAUGCACGACAGCGUGGGGGAGCAAACAGG